GUUGCUGUAGCUCAGUUGGUAGAGCAUGGCGCUUGCAGCGCCAGGAUAGUGGGUUCAAUUCCCUUGGACCACU
rnacentral:tRNA from 1 species